UCCGGCACGGACGCCGGAAAAACCGUAGGUAAUCGACGUUUUUGCAAAGCCGGGAGGAUUUGCAAAAACUCGCGUUAAAAAUCGGACAGGGAAGUCCGAUUUUUAAACCCUU
rnacentral:sRNA from 1 species